rnacentral:rRNA from 1 species
AACGAACGCUGGCGGCAUGCCUAACACAUGCAAGUCGAACGAGACCUUCGGGUCUAGUGGCGCACGGGUGCGUAACGCGUGGGAACCUGCCCUUAGGUUCGCAAUAACUCCCCGAAAGGGGUGCUAAUACCGGAUAAUGUCUUCGGACCAAAGAUUUAUCGCCUUUGGAUGGGCCCGCGUUGGAUUAGCUAGUUGGUAGGGUAAAAGCCUACCAAGGCGACGAUCCAUAGCUGGUCUGGGAGGAUGAUCAGCCACACUGGGACUGAGACACGGCCCAGACUCGUACGGGAGGGAGGAGUGGGGAAUAUUGGAAGAUGGGGGAUGGCCUGAUCCAGCAAUGCGGGGUGAGUGAUGAAGGCCUUAGGGUUGUAAAGCUCUUUUACCCGGGAUGAGAAUGACAGUACCGGGAGAAUAAGCUCCGGCUAACUCCGUG